UGGAAUUGUAGUCAAUUAUGACAUAUGAUUUGCAUUCAUAAAGUGUAUUAAACCUUUUUC
rnacentral:tRNA from 1 species